AACGAACGCUGGCGGCAUGCCUAACACAUGCAAGUCGAACGAAGCCUUCGGGCUUAGUGGCGCACGGGUGCGUAACGCGUGGGAAUCUGCCUCUUGCUUCGGAAUAACAGUUAGAAAUGACUGCUAAUACCGGAUGAUGUCUUCGGACCAAAGAUUUAUCGGCAAGAGAUGAGCCCGCGUAGGAUUAGGUAGUUGGUGGGGUAAAGGCCUACCAAGCCGACGAUCCUUAGCUGGUCUGAGAGGAUGAUCAGCCACACUGGGACUGAGACACGGCCCAGACUCUUACGGGAGGCAGCAGUGGGGAAUAUUGGACAAUGGGGGCAACCCUGAUCCAGCAAUGCCGCGUGAGUGAUGAAGGCCUUAGGGUUGUAAAGCUCUUUUACCAGGGAUGAUAAUGACAGUACCUGGAGAAUAAGCUCCGGCUAACUCCGUGCCAGCCGCCGCCGUAAAAC
rnacentral:rRNA from 1 species